rnacentral:rRNA from 1 species
UACGAAGGGUGCAAACGUUGCUCGGAAUUAUUGGGCGUAAAGCGCACGUAGGCGGUUUGUCAAGUCAGGCGUGAAAGCCCCGGGCUCAACCUGGGAACCGCGCUUGAGACUGGCAGGCUCGAGUUCGGGAGAGGAUGGUGGAAUUCCCAGUGUAGAGGUGAAAUUCGUAGAUAUUGGGAAGAACACCCGUGGCGAAGGCGGCCAGCUGGGCCGUCCCUGACGCUGAGGCGCGAAGGCGUGGGGAGCGAACGGG